CAGCAACUUGCUCUUAGCAAGAGGGAGGAGUAUAUCCAGGUUGAAGCAUUAUCUGUAAUGAAUCUAACGUUGAUGGCAAGUAACCCCUCAGAGAGAGAAAGGUUUGGACUCGUGCAACUGUUGGAGGUUUUUGCCGAAGUUAUUCCAGAAGGAAAUUGGCUUGUGCGUGAGAAAGCAAGCCGUGCGUCUUCGGUUUCUUUUACUUAACUGCCCAAAGGUGUUAUCGGUGUUUUGUGAUGAAACUGACCAUGCAAAAACAACAGAUUGCCUAAUAGCUAUACCAACAUUACGGGAAGGAACUAACCGUAUCCUUGAGAGCCUAGCAGAAUGCUUAGCUUGUGCUGGAGUUAAUACUGAGUGUCUCUGAAACCCGAGCUUUUUGAAGGAUUACGUUUUGACUUUACAAAAGGUUUGAACCAGAAGUUUUCACAGAGUCACAGGUUGCCCUCAUACCUUACAUCACUGCUGGUGAUCCUGAUCUCUCAACAACCUCAGAAGUAUUGAAAGUUCUCGACUCCUGCGGUUUCGAUUGUACACAAACAUAUAAAUAGAAAAUUAGUUAUUAUCUAUGUAAACAAUUUAUGUAUCGCUUUAAG